rnacentral:rRNA from 1 species
GAUGAACGCUGGCGGCGUGCCUAAUACAUGCAAGUCGAGCGCACGGACUAGACGCUUGCUUUUCUGAUGUUAGUGGCGGACGGGUGAGUAACACGUUGAUUACCUCCCUAUAAGACUGGGCUCACUUCUGGAAUCCGGACCUAAUAUCGGAUCUUAUUUUGAACCGCAUGUUUCACAACUUAAAGCCGGUCUUGCUGUCACUUCUAGAUGGAUCCGCGCUGCAUUAGCUAGUUGGUAAGGUAAUGGCUUACCAAGGCAACGAUGCAUAGCCGACCUGAGAGGGUGAUCGGCCACACUGGAACUGAGACACGGUCCAGACUCCUACGGGAGGCAGCAGUAGGGAAUCUUCCGCAAUGGGCGAAAGCCUGACGGAGCAACGCCGCGUGAGUGAUGAAGGUCUUCGGAUCGUAAAGCUCUGUUAUUAGGGAAGAACAUAUGUGGAAGGAAAUGGGCACAUCUUGACGGUACCUAAUCAGAAAGCCACGGCUAACUACGUG